rnacentral:ncRNA from 1 species
ACAGUACAAACUGAGCAGGCGGUAUCUGUUAGGGUAACAGAUAAGUGGCCGGGCCGGAUUUUAACGGCAGCAGAGUGAGCUUUUUCGCACACCUGCGGGACAGU